ACUCAAAGGAAUAGACGGGGGCCCGCACAAGCGGUGGAGCAUGUGGUUUAAUUCGAUGCAACGCGAAGAACCUUACCUGGGUUUGACAUCCUCUGACAGCUCUAGAGAUAGAGAUUCUCCUUCGGGAGCAGAGAGACAGGUGCUGCAUGGCUGUCGUCAGCUCGUAUCGUGAGAUGUCGGGUUAAGUCCCUUAACGAGCGCAACCCUUGUCCGUAGUUGCCACCAUUUAGUUGGGCACUCUAUGGAGACCGCCGGUGUUAAACCGGAGGAAGGUGGGGAUGACGUCAAGUCCUCAUGGCCCUUAUGUCCAGGGCUACACACGUGCUACAAUGGCCGAUACAAAGGGUUGCUAACCCGCGAGGGGGAGCUAAUCUCAGAAAGUCGGUCUCAGUUCGAAUUGAAGUCUGCAACUCGACUUCAUGAAGCUGGAAUCGCUAGUAAUCGCGGAUCAGCAUGCCGCGGUGAAUACGUUCCCGGGCCUUGUACACACCGCCCGU
rnacentral:rRNA from 1 species